GACGAACGCUGGCGGCGUGCUUAACACAUGCAAGUCGAACGGAAAGGCCCUGCUUUUGUGGGGUGCUCGCGUGGCGCACGGGUGUGUAACACGUGAGUAACCUGCCCUUGACUUUGGGAUAACUUCAGGAAACUGGGGCUAAUACCGGAUAGGAGCUCCUGCUGCAUGGUGGGCGUUGGAAAGUUUCGGCGGUUAGGGAUGGACUCGGGGCUUAUCAGCUUGUUGGUUGGGUAGUGGCUUACCAAGGCUUUGACGGGUGGCCGGCCUGAGAGGGUGACCGGCCACAUUGGGACUGAGAUAGGGCCCAGACUCCUACGGGAGGCAGCAGGGGGGAAUAUUGCACAAUGGGCGGAAGCCUGAUGCAGCAACGCCGCGUGCGGGAUGACGGCCUUCGGGUUGUAAACCGCUUUAGCCUGUGACGAAGCGUGAGUGACGGUAAUGGGUAAAGAAGCACCGGCUAACUACGUG
rnacentral:rRNA from 1 species